GUGUCAGCCGCCGCGGUAAGACAGAGGCCUCAAGCGUUAGGCGGAAUCACUGGGCUUAAAGCGUGUGUAGGCGGAUCGUUAAGUGUCUUGUGAAAUCCCACGGCUCACCCGUGGAACUGCUGGGCAUACUGGCGAUCUUGGACCAACUAGGGGCAACUGGAACAAGCGGUGGAGCGGUGAAAUGCGUAGAUAUCGCUUGGAACGCCAAAGGUGAAAACAGGUUGCUGGGGUUGUGCCGACGCUGAGGCACGAAAGCCAGGGUAGCGAACGGGAUUAGAUACCCCCGUAGUCC
rnacentral:rRNA from 1 species